UUAUCAGGGUCAUCCUCAAUAACCUUGUACUGAUAAAAUUAAAAAAAAAAAAUAAUAAACGCAUUAGUUGCAGAAUCGCUGGGUAUAAAUAAUAUCAAUUGGUGUUAGAUAUUUCAGUUUGCUGUCAAUAGCUGUAAGUUUAUAAUUCAAUAAUUUUAUUAUAUAAAAUUAAAUUUUACAGUAUAAAGAACGAAAAUGAAGAACUUAUUCGCAUUAUUCUUUCUUUUUUUCGCUUUUGGAGUUUUUCAAAUUUUUGCUGACAGAUGUGAUGGUAUGAAGUGCAAUAUAUCAAAAGGAUAUCAAUGUUGCGAGGGCUAUUGGUGUAAUGGCUACUCAGAAGAAGGAGACUGUAUACGUCUUGCAACCGAACAGAAGCUAUAAUUGAUAAAAUUAAUUUUAUUUCAAUCUUAAGCAAAAGAUACAAAUAAAAAAUUCUGUAAAAACUUCA